rnacentral:misc_RNA from 1 species
UACAGAGGUGGCGAGCGUUGUUCGGAUUCAUUGGGCGUAAAGGGUUCGUAGGCGGUCCGGAAAGUCGGGUGUGAAAUCCCACAGCUUAACUGUGGAACUGCAUUCGAAACUCCCAGACUAGAGUGUGAGAGGGGUGAAGAGAAUUCCCGGUGUAAGGGUGAAAUCUGCAGAGAUCGGGAGGAAAACCUGUCGCGAAGGCGCUUCACUGGCUCACAACUGACGCUCAGGGACGAAAGCUAGGGUAGCCAACGGG